GAAGCCGGAAUCGCUAGUAAUCGCGGAUCAGAAUGCCGCGGUGAAUACGUUCCCGGGUCUUGUACACACCGCCCGUCACACCAUGGGAGUCAGUAACGCCCGAAGUCAGUGACCCAACCUGAAAGGGAGGGAGCUGCCGAAGGCGGGACGGAUAACUGGGGUGAAGUCGUAACAAGGUAUC
rnacentral:rRNA from 1 species